rnacentral:rRNA from 1 species
GACGAACGCUGGCGGCGUGCUUAACAUAUGCAAGUCGAACGGAAAGGCUCCAGCUUGCUGGAGUACUCGAGUGGCGAACGGGUGAGUAACACGUGGGUAAUCUGCCCUGCACUCUGGGAUAAGCCUGGGAAACUGGGUCUAAUACUGGAUAUGACCUUUCUCCUUAUGGGGUUUGGUGGAAAGUUUUUCGGUGUAGGAUGAGCCCGCGGCCUAUCAGCUUGUUGGUGGGGUGAUGGCCUACCAAGGCGACGACGGGUAGCCGGCCUGAGAGGGUGAUCGGCCACAUUGGGACUGAGAUACGGCCCAGACUCCUACGGGAGGCAGCAGUGGGGAAUAUUGCACAAUGGGCGGAAGCCUGAUGCAGCGACGCCGCGUGAGGGAUGGCGGCCUUCGGGUUGUAAACCUCUUUCAGCAGGGACGAAGCGUAAGUGACGGUACCUGCAGAAGAAGCACCGGCUAACUACGUG